AUUUGAUUUUCAACAUUGCAAUGAGUGGCGAACGGGUGAGUAACACGUGGGAAACCUACCUCUUAGCAGGGAUAACAUUUGGAAACAAAUGCUAAUACCGUAUAAUAAUUAAAACCGCAUGGUUUUAGUUUAAAAGAUGGUCUUGCUAUCACUAAGAGAUGGUCCCGCGGUGUAUUAGUUAGUUGGUGAGGUAAUGGCUCACCAAGACAAUGAUACAUAGCCGAGUUGAGAGACUGACCGGCCACAAUGGGACUGAGACACGGCCCAUACUCCUACGGGAGGCAGCAGUAGGGAAUCUUCCACAAUGGACGAAAGUCUGAUGGAGCAACGCCGCGUGUGUGAUGAAGGGUUUCGGCUCGUAAAACACUGUUGUAAGAGAAGAAUGACAUUGAGAGUAACUGUUCAAUGUGUGACGGUAUCUUACCAGAAAGGAACGGCUAAAUACGUG
rnacentral:rRNA from 1 species